UACGGAGGAUGCAAGCGUUAUCCGGAAUGAUUGGGCGUAAAGCGCGCGUAGGUGGCUUCAUAAGUCCGUUGUGAAAGUCAAAGGCUCAACCUUUGAAAGCCGAUGGAUACUGUGGAGCUAGAGUACGGAAGAGGCGAGUGGAAUUCCUGGUGUAGCGGUGGAAUGCGCAGAUAUCAGGAGGAACACCAAUAGCGAAGGCAGCUCGCUGGGACGUUACUGACACUGAGGCGCGAAAGCGUGGGGAGCGAACAGG
rnacentral:rRNA from 1 species